UUAGUGGAUAUAGUAUAAAAAUCAGAUCUGAAAGAAGCACAUAACAUUCGGAAAGGUAUUCAGGUGAUAGUGCAGACUUUUUUGUUAUUCAUUCACGCCAUUAUUUGUAAACUGAUGCUUGCCUGCUUCACAAAAGAAGCUUACCUCAAUCUCCAUCAGUAAGCAUUCCAUCAUAUCAUCGGUUCCAGAUCAGACAACAGUAUAAACAGCAGGGUCAACCUCAUCGCAAAAACCAUAUCCCUACUACACUUUAUUAUACACAGCUCACAAACUGUGGAUCUGAAUUUUCAGUUUCCUUUGUGUUAAAAAAUUUACUUGAGGGGACUAGUGUUGGGCCCCAAAUUAUCCAUUCUUUCCUACACAAGAUAUCAGAGGAGGAAUACAUCAUGUUCCUGUGAAGAUCAUACAUAAGGCUCUUCUGCAGAUUGCCUAUUUCCAGAGAGCUAAUAUUGACAUAGAAGCAUAUCCAUGCACCACACUAUGUAACAUGUCUUCUUCAGUUUUAGCUUUGCUGACAUCAUCUUGUUAUGAAUUACUUUGCACCUCUAGUUAUGGAUUAUGAAUUAACAUCAAAAUAGGAUUGCCUUACAAUUAGGCAUGCGUGCUAAAUGAAGCCCAGGUGUU
rnacentral:lncRNA from 1 species